rnacentral:rRNA from 1 species
GGCGACACCGCGCGACCGAAAGCCGUUCUCAGUUCGGAUCGGAGUCUGCAACCCGACUCCGUGAAGCUGGAUUCGCUAGUAAUCGCGCAUCAGCCAUGGCGCGGUGAAUACGUUCCCGGGCCUUGUACACACCGCCCGUCAAGCCAUGGGAGCCGGGGGUGCUUGAAGUGCGUCGCCGCAAGGCGCGCCCUAGAGCAAAACCGGUGACUGGGGCUAAGUCGUAACAAGGUACC